rnacentral:rRNA from 1 species
CCUGGUUGAUCCUGCCAGUAGCAUAUGCUUGUCUCAAAGAUUAAGCCAUGCAUGUCUAAGUACAAGCCGCUAGACGGCGAAACCGCGAAUGGCUCAAUAAAUCAGUUAUGGUUCCUUAGAUCCACUCCAUCCUACUUGGAUAACUGUGGUAAUUCUAGAGCUAAUACAUGCACUCGAGCCUCGACUGCGCCCGCUUCGCGGUGGGUGCAGAAGAGGUGCUUUUAUUAGAUCAAAACCAGUCGGGGCGAGCGGCGGGCAACCGUCGCGCGACCCGUACCAAUUUUGGUGACUCUGGAUAACUUCACGCCGAUCGCAUGGCCUUCGAGCCGGCGACGUAUCUUUCAAAUGUCUGCCUUAUCAACUGUCGAUGGUAGGUUACGCGCCUACCAUGGUUGCUACGGGUAACGGGGAAUCGGGGUUCGAUUCCGGAGAGGGAGCCUGAGAAACGGCUACCACAUCCAAGGAAGGCAGCAGGCGCGCAAAUUACCCACUCCCGGCACGGGGAGGUAGUGACGAAAAAUAACGAUACGGGACUCUUCCGAGGCCCCGUGAUUGGAAUGAGUACACUUUAAAUCCUUUAACGAGGAACCAUUGGAGGGCAAGUCUGGUGCCAGCAGCCGCGGUAACUCCAGCUCCAAUAGCGUAUAUUAAAGUUGUUGCGGUUAAAAAGCUCGUAGUCGGAUGUCUGUCUUCGGCCGGGCGGCGCCGCUCUGAAUCAAGGGUGUUGCGUUUCACGCUCUGGGAGCCCGGGUGUCAAAGCCCGACUCUCUUCACGGUCGGACAACAUCGCCGGAGUGGUGGCCGGUGGGUCGCGUUGUAUCGGUUCGCGUGGCGUUUCGUUUUCUUCCUCUUCGGGGUUCGCUCCGUCGAGGGGGGGGUGAUCGCUCGCGGUCAGUUGACGCGGUUCGCUCCACCCAGUCAAUCGUUCGGGGUGCCCUUCACCGGGUGUCUCGGGCGGCCGGCAACGUUUACUUUGAACAAAUUAGAGUGCUCAAAGCAGGUGUAUCCCAACGCCUGAAUAUCGCAGCAUGGAAUGAUGGAAUAGGACCUCGGUCCGAUUUUGCUGGUCUUUUCUUUUGGACCCGAGGUAAUGGUCAAUAGAGACGGACGGGGGCAUUCGUACUGCGGCGACAGAGGUGAAAUUCUUGGACCGCCGCAAGACGAACAACAGCGAAGGCAUUUGCCAAGAAUGUUUUCCUUGAUCAAGAACGAAAGUUAGAGGUUCGAAGGCGAUCAGAUACCGCCCUAGUUCUAACCAUAAACGAUGCCAACCAGCAAUCCGUCGGAGUUACUCCAAUGACUCGACGGGCAGCUUCCGGGAAACCAAAGUCUUUGGGUUCCGGGGGAAGUAUGGUUGCAAAGCUGAAACUUAAAGGAAUUGACGGAAGGGCACCACCAGGAGUGGAGCCUGCGGCUUAAUUUGACUCAACACGGGAAACCUCACCAGGCCCGGACACUGGAAGGAUUGACAGAUUGAGAGCUCUUUCUUGAUUCGGUGGGUGGUGGUGCAUGGCCGUUCUUAGUUG